CUCAUCAGUGCUUACCCUUGCAGUGUGUUCUGACGAACUGCUGGCUAAGAAACAAAUAUGCUCCAGUUCAGAUUUUCUCAACAUCAGAUGCUAUUACUAGCGCCACCUAACCUAUAGUUCCAGUGGGUCAGUUACAACUUAAAUCUUCGUUGCAUCACUCAUGGCUAUAGUUUUUCACUGGUACAAUAUUUGGCAUGACAGCAGGUUAUUCAUAGCACAUGCUGAUUUCUGUAGUGAGAAUGUAAAUACGAAUGGCCCUUUUUUAUUUCUUGAAAUUUGAGUAGUCUUUUUCCCUAAGAUUGCAGUCUGUUUUUUCCAUAGUCCUUAUGGUUGUAUUGUAUCUUCUCAUUCCAAUAAGAACUUAUAUCAACACGAACUAAACACAUUAAUGUUGAUUCUUGCAGCAGGUACUAUUAUAAUAUUAAUGUUAUUGUAUCAGAUCUACAUCUACUUAUGCUGGAUAAACAGAUGAUGGCAAUGGUCCUUCUAUAGCAACAAAGCGUUCAUGUGUGCCAGUUCGAUUUUGUUAUGUGACCAUGGGUAAACCAUAUGCUCUGGGAAUUGUUUUUAAUUAUUAUCAAGUAACAUUCAUCCCUUAAUGUAUUUAUGAAAUCAUAGGAGAAUUAUUUUGCCCUGCAGAUUUGUUUCAUAAGACAAAGUUUUUUUUAAGUAUUUGGAUCACAACUCAAAGAUAGUAGAGAUCUAAUAACAUACUUAUUUCAUUUACAACUGAAAGACAUUGAAUACCAUUAGCUGGCUUGCUUUGCCUUCAUAAGUACAUUUCAGUUUCAUAUUUUACUUUUAUUUGUACUAUGUAAUCAUUUUCUACAGAUCCUGCACUUGCACUAAUUCAGAUCUUUAUAUUGGUUUUCGUGUUGUGUUUUAUUCCAUACAAAAAAUCACUUCUAAUUUAGGUGGGUGCACAAAAUUAUUCCCUAUGAGGGCAUUGAUAUUUCUUAUUUGCAUAUGUUGGAUGUGCAUAUCCGAGGCACCAAUAAUAUCAUCCUCAAAGUGUAAUGGGUUGAAUAGAGCAAAGCAAACCAACCGAUGUAUGUACUUAGUGCCAUGAUGGAUAUGGAGUAGUGGAAGAAUCACUUUGGAGAGGGAUUAAGUCGAUAAGUUGUUGGUUUCAUACCCGGUUAUUUAAAAAGUGAGCUAAUGUGUUUGCAUUGUCUUGGUUAUCUAACGUGACAGCUUCUCUCUAUUAAUUCUGCGAGAUGUUAGUUUAUAAUUUAAUUGAGAUUCUGUAAAACACUUUAAUAUUAACGUGGA